CCUACGGGUGGCAGCAGUGGGGAAUAUUGGGCAAUGGGCACAAGCCUGACCCAGCAACGCCGCGUGAAGGAAGAAGGCUUUCGGGUUGUACACUUCUUUUAAGAGGGAAGAGCAGACGACGGUACCUCUUCAAUAAGCCACGGCUAACUACGUGCCAGCAGCCGCGGUAAUACGUAGGUGGCAAGCGUUGUCCGGAUUUACUGGGUGUAAAGGGCGUGCAGCCGGGAAGACAAGUCAGAUGUGACAUCCCGGGGCUCAACCGCGGAACUGCAUUUGAAACUGUUUGUCUUGUGUACCGGAGAGGUGAUCGGAAUUCCUUGUGUAGCGGGGAAAUGCUUAGAUAGCACGAAGAACCCCGAUUGCGAAGGCAGCUUACUAAACUGUGACUGACAUUGAUGCUCGAAAGUGUGGGUAUCAAACAGGAUUAGAUACCCCGGUAGUC
rnacentral:rRNA from 1 species